CAGAACGGAGCUUGCUCCCGGAUGUUAGCGGMGGACGGGUGAGUAAUACGUGGGUAACCUGCCUGUAAGACUGGGAUAACUCCGGGAAACCGGAGCUAAUACCGGAUAGUUCCUUGAACCGCAUGGUUCAAGGAUGAAAGACGGUUUCGGCUGUCACUUACAGAUGGACCCGCGGCGCAUUAGCUAGUUGGUGGGGUAAUGGCUCACCAAGGCGACGAUGCGUAGCCGACCUGAGAGGGUGAUCGGCCACACUGGGACUGAGACACGGCCCAGACUCCUACGGGAGGCAGCAGUAGGGAAUCUUCCGCAAUGGACGAAAGUCUGACGGAGCAACGCCGCGUGAGUGAUGAAGGUUUUCGGAUCGUAAAGCUCUGUUGUUAGGGAAGAACAAGUGCGAGAGUAACUGCUCGCACCUUGACGGUACCUAACCAGAAAGCCACGGCUAACUACGUGCCAGCAGCCGCGGUAAUACGUAGGUGGCAAGCGUUGUCCGGAAUUAUUGGGCGUAAAGGGCUCGCAGGCGGUUUCUUAAGUCUGAUGUGAAAGCCCCCGGCUCAACCGGGGAGGGUCAUUGGAAACUGGGAAACUUGAGUGCAGAAGAGGAGAGUGGAAUUCCACGUGUAGCGGUGAAAUGCGUAGAGAUGUGGAGGAACACCAGUGGCGAAGGCGACUCUCUGGUCUGUAACUGACGCUGAGGAGCGAAAGCGUGGGGAGCGAACAGGAUUAGAUACCCUGGUAGUCCACCCCGUAAACGAUGAGUGCUAAGUG
rnacentral:rRNA from 1 species